rnacentral:antisense_RNA from 1 species
GGGCUCCGAACGUCUCCUGGGGAGCGGCAUGAUUGAAUCAGGGAUUCCCUAGCCCCAGGUCCCCUUCUCCGUCAUUCUAAGGGCGAAGCUGCCCAGUUCUCAGAAAAAUGUGAAAAGAGAGACUGGCCUAGCCUCCCAGCCUACAUCUUUCUCCCGUCCUGGAUGUUUCCUGGCCUUGAACGUUGGACUCCAAGUUCUUCAGUCUGGGGACUCGGACUGGCUCUCCUUGCUCCUCAGCCUGCAGACGGCCUAUUGUGGGACCUUGUGAUCAUGUUGUGGUGGUAUUACUACUACUCAGCAAGAUUCUGGUUUUACUUCUCAUCUUGGGAGUUACCACCUCGAUGUUAGGUAUGGCUGUGUGACCCACUUUGGCCAAUAAAAUGUGAACAGAAAUGGCAUAUGUCACUUGUGGACAAAAACAUUUAAGCAAGAAUUUCCCUUGCUGUCUUCCUUGACUGGAGCGACCAUGGAAGCCUGUGUUGAGAUGAAGAAGCUUACCAAAAGAUCAAAACACUUGAAAACUUGAGCAGCCACAUGGACUACAGCUGUGCUGGAGACUUGCCUGGACCCACAGCAGGCUUGGUACGCAUGGGGAAUAGAAUUUUGUUGCAUUAUGCUCCUCAGAUUUGGAUGCCAUUUGUUAUUACAGCAUUACCUAGCCUA